ACGGAGGAUCCAAGCGUUAUCCGGAUUCAUUGGGUUUAAAGGGUGCGUAGGCGGAAUAAUAAGUCAGUGGUGAAAUCUUAUAGCUUAACUGUAAAACUGCCAUUGAUACUGUUGUUCUUGAGUACAAUUGAAGUGGGUGGAAUGUAUCAUGUAGCGGUGAAAUGCUUAGAUAUGAUACAGAACACCAAUUGCGAAGGCAACUCACUAAAUUGUAACUGACGCUAAUGCACGAAAGCGUGGGGAGCAAACAG
rnacentral:rRNA from 1 species